rnacentral:misc_RNA from 1 species
UCUCGGCUUAUCACCGGCAGUCCCCCUAGAGUCCCCGCCAUGACGCGCUGGCAACAUAGAACGAGGGUUGCGCUCGUUGCGGGACUUAACCCAACAUCUCACGACACGAGCUGACGACAACCAUGCACCACCUGUACACCGCCCUUGCGGACCCCGUAUCUCUACGAGUUUUCGGUGUAUGUCAAGCCUUGGUAAGGUUCUUCGCGUUGCGUCGAAUUAAGCCACAUGCUCCGCUGCUUGUGCGGGCCCCCGUCAAUUCCUUUGAGUUUUAGCCUUGCGGCCGUACUCCCCAGGCGGGGUACUUAAUGCGUUAGCUGCGGCACGGAACCCGUUGAUAAGGCCCCACACCUAGCACCCAUCGUUUACGGCGUGGACUAC